rnacentral:lncRNA from 1 species
AUUUGCUAUAUUGGCUCUGGCAUUGUGUGAAAUUCCUAAAUCUAUAUAAAUUCCACCUAAGCCCGUGCUACUUGAGUUAGACAUAGUUACAAACAAUUAAAUUUGACAAGCAAGCUAUGCUUCCUAACUAGUAUAUUCGGAUGGUACAAAGGAACAUUCAAGAAUUAUUACAUAAAACUGGUGUUUACUGCCAAGAUCAAUGCAAAGACAGUAG